rnacentral:misc_RNA from 1 species
GUGAAUCAUCGAAUCUUUGAACGCAAAUUGCACUCUCUUCGGAGAGUAUGCCUGUUUGAGGGUCAGCCUAAAAAAAAAAUCGACAUAGUCGCUGUUUCGCGGUGAUAUUCGUCGGAAAUUGGGUAAUCUUAAACUUUUGGGUUUUAAGCGGCUUAAAAUUUUUUUUACGAUUCCACGAACGUUUCUAAUAUUUACUUCUUGUACGUUUAAGUAAGUGAUCUUUAUUAGACUUGGCCGUUGCA